rnacentral:miRNA from 1 species
UUUGUUCCAAAAAUUCCA